ACUAUUUUUAUUAGUAUUUUGAAAAUACUUUAAAGAAAUUAAUUUUUCUAAGUAGUU
rnacentral:tRNA from 1 species